rnacentral:rRNA from 1 species
GAUGAACGCUGGCGGCGUGCCUAAUACAUGCCAGUCGAGCGAACAGACGAGGAGCUUGCUCCUCUGACGUUAGCGGCGGACGGGUGAGUAACACGUGGAUAACCUACCUAUAAGACUGGGAUAACUUCGGGAAACCGGAGCUAAUACCGGAUAAUAUAUUGAACCGCAUGGUUCAAUAGUGAAAGACGGUUUUGCUGUCACUUAUAGAUGGAUCCGCGCCGCAUUAGCUAGUUGGUAAGGUAACGGCUUACCAAGGCGACGAUGCGUAGCCGACCUGAGAGGGUGAUCGGCCACACUGGAACUGAGACACGGUCCAGACUCCUACGGGAGGCAGCAGUAGGGAAUCUUCCGCAAUGGGCGUAAGCCUGACGGAGCAACGCCGCGUGAGUGAUGAAGGUCUUCGGAUCGUAAAACUCUGUUAUUAGGGAAGAACAAAUGUGUAAGUAACUAUGCACGUCUUGACGGUACCUAAUCAGAAAGCCACGGCUAACUACGUG